UACGGGGGGGGCAAGCGUUGUUCGGAAUUACUGGGCGUAAAGGGCUCGUAGGUGGCCAACUAAGUCAGACGUGAAAUCCCUCGGCUUAACCGGGGAACUGCGUCUGAUACUGGAUGGCUUGAGUUUGGGAGAGGGAUGCGGAAUUCCAGGUGUAGCGGUGAAAUGCGUAGAUAUCUGGAGGAACACCGGUGGCGAAGGCGGCAUCCUGGACCGGCAUUGACACUGAAAAGCGAAAGCCAGGGGAGCAAACGGG
rnacentral:rRNA from 1 species